rnacentral:lncRNA from 1 species
GUUUUCUUGAUCCCAUAGCAGGUUGUUCUGAGAAUAGACCGCAAAACUUCUGAAUCAUUAGUCGCUAGAAGCAGGAGUACAAAGUUAUUCUAACAUUUCCAUACAUUUACCUCCUCUGGUUCUGGGAUGGAGGCAGGAACUUGGUGAACACACCUAUGUACUUGUUUGGUGGAGUGGUCAUCAAUAGCACAUGUCAUGAAUCCUCAGAAAAAUACCCUCCUUUCCUUUUCUUCUUUUUCUAUAGCUUCCAUUUCCCACCAGCUCUUGCACCUGCCUGCCAUUUCCUGAAUGCCAGUGUGACUAAUGAAUGCCAGAGGCAGCAGAUGGGAAGGGUUUUAGGAUAGCUGACCUGACUUUGACGUGGCCAUCUCCAAAGCAUUUUUCUGACUGAGAGCCAGUGAGUAAAAUCUUUGCAGUUUCCAUUAGAAAUAGUUUUGCUAUAAGCAUCAUAUAAUAUUGGAAGUU